AUGCGAGGAGCUGGAGGCUCUGUUGUUAAGGGAGCGAUUCUGAAUCUAAAGAAUCCUUAGGUGGAAGGAGCAGCCACCCUGGGAGGAUCAGAGCGCUUCUCCAGCUCUUCUGCCUUAACGCAGGUGGUAUUAUCCUGGACUGAGGAAAGAAAAUGUUAUCUUCAUGCAGAAUUUAUGUCACGCACCUAUUAACCUCUAUGGCCCCUCGGACAGGGUUAAGUGGUUCCUGAAGAAGUGGCAUCAUCAGGAUCGUGAGGUUGCUGCAGUCACCGGUGGAGAGACAAGUGAAGGUCUAAGCAGAAUGAAGAC